AGGGGACGUAACAGGAUGGUUUCUUUGUGGAUUCUCUUUAGGAGCUCUACCUGUUGCUGCAGUUCUAGUUUUGCUUGUAGCUACAAAGUUCAUCACAGUACGCUGUAAUAAAGGAGCAGCUGAAGAGAGACAGGUAAACGGGGAGAGAAACAGGAUGACAUUCAGCACAAAGCUGGAGGUGGAAUCAAACCCUCACGCUCCACCAGGUUCUCCUGAGCAGGGAAACGGUUAUCAUAAAGAUCUUCCAGAGCUGCUGUGAAGGUGUGUGUGAAUCUGUAGACUGAGUCACGCAUGUUAGUCACAAACAACCAAAUACUGUUUUGUUGGACCAUUUACAUUUACUCAUCUGGCAGACGCUUUUAUCCGAAGCGACUUACAUUUGAGGAACAACAUACAAGCGUCAACAGAGCAUCAACUACAGAUCUACAACUGACAAUACAUACAAGUAAGAGCAGCAAUAAAUACUAGUAGAGCUCAUAGUUUAUAUUAGUAUUGGCAAGUUCGAGUCUUUUGACAGACUCGUUCAUUCAAAUCUCUUUGUUUUUUUGAGUCAUUUCGUUCAUUUGAACUAGGCUGGUUAUUGCGGCGCU